rnacentral:tRNA from 1 species
GCUGGGAUAGCUCAGUCGGUAGAGCGUGAGAUUCUUAAUCUCAGGAUUGUGGGUUCGAGCCCCACGUUGGGCA